UCUACUAAAGGAUAGUAGUUUUCCCCUGGUCUUAGGCACCAUAAUCCUUGGUGCAAAUCCAAGUAGUAGAA
rnacentral:tRNA from 1 species